rnacentral:lncRNA from 1 species
CGCGGGAAAACGUCACUUCCGCCCGCGGCGUCACGUCCGCGAGGCUCCCGGGCCCGCCGGCGUCUGUGGGGAACUGGGGCGCUGGUCGGUGCGCGGGCUGGGACGCUAAGUCAUGAGGAAUUAAACUGGGAAACCUGGCGUGGGUCCAGGCGCCUUCCAGGAGGCAUCCGGCGCGGCCCGGACGUGCUUCUACCCAGAACCACCCCCUCCAGGCCGGGGUGCACUUAACGGGGCUAUACAAAGAGUCUGACACUGUUAUUGCCCAUCUGAACUCGUCAACUGAGAAGGAAAGAGAUGGUUUAUGCUGUGAAUAAAAUACAGUUGUGCUGUGAUGUAAAUCCCCUCAUCCUGGAGCAGCUGAGCAAGGUCUAAGGCAGGAAGAACCUUCAAGCAGGUCAUGGCUGUAAGCCUCCUGAGUUUAUCCCAGCAAGUUGUAUAAGGGAUUAUCUUUUUAUCUGCAUAUUAUGACAUAUGUGAGGAUGUGUAAAGGUUUGGCAAGCACUGGCCUACUCAACAGCCAGUCCUACCUAACUUCAGAAAUCUUUCUUGUGGGCAAAUGUCAGGAGAUAGGGCCCAGGCCCAGGUCCAGCUACAAAGAAUGAAUACAAUUAAAGUGCUACUUCCAUUCACCUCACCCCAGAUUAGUUUAGGCAAGAGCUCAGGAUGCAGUUUUGACAUUUGAAAGAUAAGGAGUAGUCUGCUGGGAGCCUGAUAAAUUGAAACAGGGAUGGCACAGUUCUAAAUAUUAUUAAAUAAUAGUAAUAAUAUUAAGUAUUACUGAGGAUGUGACACUUCUGAUUGCUGCAGCCAUUGUAACGUGAGGCAAGCCAACCUACAGAGAAGGUAGAAAUGCUGAUAUUGGUGCAGGAGGAAUUUCAAAAGAAUCUGGAUCCUCAGUGUUAUAAAUGAGCCUCUGAUUUGGCCAGCCCUGGAGCUGACCUAAGCUGAGCUGAGGUUUUCACUUGUUUGCAACAGAAAGCAUCAUGACUGAUAAUGUUUCUCCUGUGCUUAUCUUCAGGAUAGAGACCAAAUCUUGGGUAUCAUCAUUGCCUUAGUACCUAGCACAGUGUUACACACACAGUAAAUGCUUGCUUACUAAAAGUAGGGAUGGCAGGAAAGUGAAGGAAAGUUCUAGGAACUGAAGUAAACUCUCUUCAUACGUAGAUAUCACUUGCUUUAUUUAAAACCAGUUUAUCAACAUCUAGAUUACAUUUAUGUAAUCUAGAUUUAUUUAUUACCAUAUUACAAUUAUGAUAAAGAGAUUUCUCAAUUUACAAAAGAAUAUAUGUCUUGACCAUGGAUUAAUUUAACUAUGUUCACUAGUAUGUAAAAUAUAUUUUCCUGCAGCCAUAAAAAGGAAUGAGAUCAUGUCCUUUGCAGGAACAUGGAUGGAGCCAGAAGCCUUUAUCCUCAGCAAACUAACGCAGGAACAGAAAACCAAACACUGCAUGUUCUCACUUAUAAGUGGGAGCUAAACAAUGAGAACACAUGGACAUGAAGAGGGGAACAACACACACUGGGGGAUUACUUGAGGGUGUAGGGUGAGAGGACAGAAGAUCAAAAAACUACCUAUCAGGUACUACACUUGUUACCUGGGUGGUGAAAAAAUCUGUACACACCAAACCCCAGAGACACACAGUUUACCUAUAUAACAAACUUGCACAUGUAUCCCUAAACCUAAAAUAAUAGUUUGAAAAAAGUGUGGUGUAUAUAUCAUAAUAUAUACACAUAAAUAGAUACACACACACACACACACACACACACACACACACACAUACACACAUACAUACCAUAAAAUAGACCCAGGAAGGGGAACAACACACACUGGGGCCUGUAGCGGGGAAGGGUGGGGAGAGGGAGAGCAUCAGGAGAGCUAAUGGAUGCUGGGCUUAAUACCAUGGUGAUGGGUUGAUCUGUGCAGCACACCACCAUAGCACACAUUUACCUGUGUAACAAACCUGCACAUCCUACACAUAUACCUGGGAGCUUAAAAGUUGAAGGAAAAAAUAAUAAAAUAUAUUUUCAUCCACACAACUCAGAAGCAAUUGAGUUCACCAUCAAAAUCUUUAGUUUUCUGUUGCAUUACCAAAGAAGUAUUAGAAUUUCGGCAGAGUCUAGACCAGGUACGGUGGCUCACGCCUGUAAUCCCAGCAGUUUGGGAGGCCAAGGCGGGUGGAUCACCUGAGGUCAGGAGUUUGAGACCAGGCUGGCAAACAUGGUGAAACCACAUCUCUACCAAAAAUACGAAAUUAGCUGAGUGUGGUGGCAGGUGCCUGUAAUCCCAGCUACUCUGGAGGCUGAGGCAGGAGAAUCACUUGAACCCAGGAGGCAGAGGUUGCAGUGAGCUGAGAUCAUGCCACUGCACUCCAGCCUAGGCGACAAGAGCAAGACCCCAUCUCAAAAAAUAUAUAUAUAUAUAUAUAUAUAUAUAUAUAUAUAUAUUUCAGCAGAGUCUUAAAAAAAUUCCCCCUGAACUUCUUGAAAUUCAUGGAUCUCUUCCAACCUGCUUGGUAAUUUUAAGAAGAUUGCUGUAAGACUCCUACAAAAAAUAUAUGUAUUUCUUAGAUUUUCUAUCUAGAGAGGGAACUCUCUUCAGUUUGAGACUCCUUCAGUGAUAUUAAAAUUUGGGGAAGGGUCUAAAAAGUCUUCAUCGUUCUAAAAAGCCUUCCUUCAAAGUUUUUAUACCCCCAAGCUACCACACUAUUUCCAUUUCUUAACCAUCUAGCUUCUUAGAAGGGUAGUCCCCAUUGGUUCUCUCUGCUUCCCCAAUUUCUCAGCCUGCUGGCCCCUGGCUUUCUUUCACUACCACCAAGAGCCCCCUUCUGAAAUCACUCUUUCAAAUGUCACUGAUGAUAGUUGUCAAUCCCAUGGCUUCUUUUGGUCCUCAACCUACUUGACCUUUCUUGCAGUCAAUAUAGUUAACCACUUCCUCUUAAAAAUUCCCUAGUCUUCCACAAAUCUAUGGUCUCCUUGUUCUCCUCCCUUGUUACUUCACAAAUUCCUUCAUUAGUUCUCUUUCUGCCGGUCCCUUCAAUGCAAGUGCUCCCUAGAGUAAUGCUACUCAAAGUGUAGUUCUUGGACCAGUGACAGUCUGCGAACUGUUUGUGUUUAGUCCACAAGGAAAUAAGUACAGAAAUUAAAAGGAUAAGUGCUUAGCAGUGUUUAUAUCAAUUUGACAUUUCAGGAAUAUCCGAGUGCAUGAUCAUUGGACAUUGCUUGUUAAACAGUUCAGGUAUUCUUCAACCUGGUUCUUGAGUUGCAGGUGGCAUGGUUGUGUCCCUGUCAUAUGCAAUAGUACGAUAUUACAAUGAGUAAAAUUUCAAGGUUUGUCACCUGCAACCCAAGAGUAAAAAUCUAUGAAAAUGUAAAUAUUUAUUUACUUAUAUAACUUGUUAUUUUUACAAUCAUUUUCAUUUUUAAUCAAGCCUAUUUUUUGUAAAUUCUUAGCUAAAUUAGGGGAGUAAAAUUUGUGUCAUUUGUUUUUAACCCUAAAUUAUAGAUGGCAAAACAAUCCUUACUGUCCAAUUUUGCCAAUACAAGACACACAUCAGUAAUGUGUUAGUAAUCACAGUAGUAAACUAAAUAAUGAUCAGAGAAGUAAUUCCAAAGAAUUAAACAAAUAGGAGUUUGUACUAAUUUUACUCAGAAGUAUAAUCCCUUGUUAUUGAGUUUGUAGCCAUAACUCAUAGUGAAGUGCUAAAAUCAUUACAGACUAAUGAAACAAUAAAGCCAUCAAACUUAAAGGACAUUUAUAUACAAAAUAUUAAAAAACUAAUUAUAAAUUUGAUAAAAUAUCUGAGUAUUUUCUAUCAAAACAAGCUCCACAUGCAAGAAAUUCAUGGAUCCAAAAUCCGUUUAUUUCAUUGAAAGAUAACUUGAGUGACAGUUUUUGAAACUGGCUACUGAUGAAAGAUUGAAGAUGAAUUUUGAAAAUAACGCAUUGUUUCCAUCAUUAAGGAUAAAAGUUAAAAGUGAUUAUCCUGAUAUUGUUAAAUUGCUUUAAGUCUUCUUCUGUUCCCUUCAACAUAUUUUUGAGAGACUAGUUUUUCUACUACUAGUGUUGUUAAAAUAAAAUAUAAAAACAAUUUAGAUAUACAUCAUCUCCUGCAAGUAGCAUGUCACCAAUCCAACCUAGAUUAGAUAAUUUAACAAGCAAAGAGCCCACUCAUUUCUCACAUUAAAACUUCAAAUAUUAACAUUCAUGUUGUUUAGUGGGAAAUUACUACUUCACUCCCAACUUUUUGUUAGUUGUUACGGCUGUGAGGUGAUAAAUAUUAGGAGGAUAAUGGCAAUUCUCUUUAUUAAUUAUCUAUCUGGACACUUUCAAUAAGCAAUGUACAUUUUGUAAUUUUUUCUUUUAUUUAUGUUUGUUCUGAUAAUUUUUAUUGAAAUGUAAUUCUAUUUCUGUUUAAUCUAAAAAAUGUGAGCUUGUACAAUAUUUGGUGUGCCUCUGUUUUCAUUAUAAUUUUUUGCAAUUUGUUUCUAUUUUACAUUCCAAAGUGUUAAUAUCACUUCAUGACAAACAGUUAAUGAAAAAGAAUGAAAAGUUCCUUCACAGAUAGUGUGGGAAACACUGGUCUUCAAGCGUCUUCAAUCCUCCUCUCUUCUUGCUCUAUUUCAAUCCCAUGACUUAAAUAACUUCCCAUAUGUGCAUGUUAGAUUCUUUCAGGUUUCAAGGAACAGAGACCUGUUCAGUUUAUCUGAAUUAUUCAAGGUUAAUAAUAAGGUCUGGGAGGAAAAGUAAAGAAAACAAAAAAGAACCCCUGCUGUUCCACUCAUGUAUCUUUUCAUCCCCCAGCAGCAGACUCCACUCCUUCCCGCCAUUGUGAAUAUUAUCAUCUUCAUCUUUUUAUACUGUACUACUUCUGCUACACUGACCUUCUCUCCAUGCCACCAAACCACACUCCUAAGUGCAGAGAAUAUGAUUGAUUCUCCUACUAUACCAAUUUCCAUGAGCAGGACCAAUUACAUAAUUUGCAGGGUCCAGAGGAAAAAAAAUGCAGAACUCCUCAUUGAAAAAUUACUAAGAAUUUCAAGAUGGUGGCAACAGAGCAUUAAACCAACCACAGGGUCUUUCUAACAUGGAGAACUAAGUGACUACACAGGCUACAUGUCCACGAAGCCAGACAGUCUCUGAAGUGCAGGCUCAACUCUGCCUGGCAGUGGCAAGGGCCAGGGCCAGUGACUGAAGCAACAAACUGCCAGAUGACUGCAGCUCAAGCCAAUGCACAAAGCCACUGCAACAAGAGAGGAAAUUCUUCCAUUUCCAAGUGUGUCGAUUUCUCCCCAUCAAGGAAAACAGCUAAGGCAAUGUGUUGAUAUUUUCUUUGACCAAGUCAUCAGGAGUCACAUAGACAUACAGCACUCAAGAAGUGGCUGUAACUAAAGGCACAUCUCGUUCAUCUACAACCCUUGUAAUCCCAACCUUUGUCUGAUGCACAAACCCUUCCCUAGUUCUCCCCACCACCACCACUGCACCUCCAAGUGGGGACAACGAAUUGUUUCAUUUGCAUGUGGUUUUUCUCAUGAAAAAUAUCAUUAACAUGAGACAGCCCCAAACCAAGGAAACCAGAAGUGGGGUUUGUGCUUGGUCUUACUGAGAGCUUUCCCUACUUGACCAGACCCCAGCAUUGUUCUAGAUUUGUCUCUUGUGGGCUACAGGAAUGCAAACAUUUUGUAGUUUCCUCUUUUUUGUUUUCUUAAUGGCUUGAUGAGCCACACAUGUUUCUCUAAAUGCAUGAUUUUAAAUUCACACAAUUUCUGCCAACUAAACUUAAUGCAUUCUCCUCCUCUUCUAAUCAAUAAGGGCUAUCAGAAUGUUUUGGGUGAAGAUGAGCGGAAGGUAAGAAAUUACAUACUGUGGGCCAGGUUUGGUGACUCACAUCUGUAACCCCAGCACUUUGAGAGACCAAGGCAUGCAGAUCGCUUGAGGCCAGGAGUUCAAGACCAGCCUGGCCAACAUGGCGAAAUCCUAUCUGUACUAAAAAUACAAAAAUUACCCAGGCGUGAUGGCUCAUGCCUGUAGUCCCAGCCACUCAGGAGGCUAAGGCAAGAGAAUCACCUGAACCCAGGAAGUGGAGUUUGCAGUGAGCUGAGAUCACGCCACUGGACUCCAGCCUGGGCAACAGAGUGAGACUCUGUCUCAAAAAAAAAAAAAAAUUACAUACUGUCGAGUAUGACCUAAAAACAUAGAGAGACUAUAUUUCAAUAGUAUGACAGGAUUAUGUUAGCUGCUAAUAACAGAACCCAAAAUAACAAUAGAUUAAAUAAAAGAUUAGUAUCCCAGGUAAAAGUCUAGAGGUAGGAAUUCUAGGACUAAGUGAAGGUUCUGCUCAGUGAAGUCCUCAGGGACACAGGCACCUUCAGCUCAUAACUCUAUCAUCCCUGGAGGGUACUUAAGGGUCCAGGAUGGCAGCCAAAAGUCGUACCUACGUUUUAAACAGCAGGGUGCUGGAAGGCAUAAAGAAAAAGCCAGAGGCACACGCCUGUUCUCACUUAAGGAAAAUUCCUGGAAACUGCCACAAUACACCUUCGCUUACAUCCCAUUGAUCAAAACGUGGAUGCAAAGCCACACCUUACUGUGGGGUACAGGGAAAAAAAACUUUUUUUGACAAUCAUGAGUUCAUUAACAGAAUUCAGGGAUCUCUUAAUACAGAAGCAAGGGAGAACAGCUGUUGGGGGACCACCGGAAGUCUCUGCUCUAAAGAACAAUGUAAAUACCUGGUGGUAGACUAACACUGAUGGCCUACAAUGAAUCACACCUACUGACAUUCAUGCCUUUGUGCAGAGUUCCACACUGAUGCUGGGCUUGGCCUUGUGACUUGUUUGGCCAAUAGGAUCUCAGCAAGCACCUUGAUAAGUGCUUGUGCAUUAGGGCUUGCUGUCCUGAAAUCCAGGUGCCAUGUAAGAAGUGUGGGUUAGUCCCUAUGAAGAUGACAGACCACAUGGAGAAAGAGGCUGAGCCUAUACCCACCCACCUACCAGAGAAGAUCAGCAGAAGAACCAGUGAAUCAUUAUUGCUUUAGUCAUUAAUUUGGGGGCAAUUUGUUAUACAGCGAUAGAUAAGUGGUACAGUACAUAGACAAAUUUCUGCAGUUCAUCGAGCAUUAGCACCAAAUAAGUAUACAACAGUGUUUGGAGCACUAAAGAGAGUAUAAAAUAUUGCUUAAAAUUGUUUCCUUGGCCUCAUGAAACAGAAAUCGGCUCUGAUUAGCAACCAAAAAAUGAGAAUUUAUUGGAAGA